rnacentral:rRNA from 1 species
UACGGGAGAUGCAAGCGUUAUCCGGAAUUAUUGGGCGUAAAGCGUCCGCAGGCGGCCAGUUAAGUCCGCUGUCAAAGCCCGCAGCUUAACUGCGGAGAGGCAGUGGAAACUAAUUGGCUAGAGUGCGGUAGGGGUAGGGGGAAUUCCCGGUGUAGCGGUGAAAUGCGUAGAUAUCGGGAAGAACACCAGCGGCGAAAGCGCCCUACGGGGCCGCAACUGACGCUCAUGGACGAAAGCUAGGGGAGCGAAAGGG